rnacentral:lncRNA from 1 species
AUUUUUUGAAAAAAAAAAACAAGUUAAGAAUAACAUUCUUGAUUACUUAAUUGAUGCAGCCAAGAAAUCCAGUAACAAAAAUGAAGUACAUGAAGCCGAAUAUGGCGGGUACCCUGGUGAUGGCGAUGGAUACCCUGGCGGCGGCCGUGGUGGUGUUGGUGGCGGAUACCCUGGCGGUGGCCAUGGUGGCGGUGGUGGUGGCCGUGGUGGUGGUGGAUACCCUGGCCAUGGUGGUGGUGGUGGAUACCCUGUCGGUGGUAGUAAAUACUCAGGCAACCGUGGUGGUGGCGGCCGGAAGUGUUGCUCCUAGAUACAAAGGUGAAUAAAUAGUAAUAUAUACUUAUAUCACCUUGUACUAAUUAGUGGCAAGAUGUAGUAGUAAUAUUCUUGCUGCUUUAAAUUUGGAGCUUAUUGUAAGAAUUAUUAUCAUGAAAUAAAAGCCAUCAUGUAAUGUUUGUUAAUUAUGCUAUGGUAUGAUAAUACUUUCCUUUGGUGUUUUACUUAUGGGCGGAAUUCUUAUUUCAUAUUAUUAUAAUUUGUUUCAAUUAACCGUUCACUAUUAUUAUCAAUAUCAAGUAUCAAUAUACAUCAAUAGUGUAAAUUUGCUUAUAUUUUUCUCUUCGAUUUCCGUGGAACUCAUCACACAUUUAUUAUGAAACAUACUUAUAAUGUCCAAAAACUAUGUAAAUUUAGAUUAGGCAAAAUUGAGGGCAUUUAUUAUUCUACGAUUUUCUCAAAUGUUUUGAAUUAUUGAUUAUUGUAGCUCUUUUUUGAAAAACUAAUUAUAGUAGUAUGACUUAUAAUACUUGGUAUUUGGGUCAAAAUAUGUGAUUUUAAAAAAAAAAAUUGGAAAAAUCAAUAUAUGUCUGAAUUCACAAAAAAAAUUCGAAAAUGAUAAUCGAAUUAUAAAAUGAAAUAGGCUUCAUUGUUGGAUUUUAUUAUAAGAAGCAUCACUGUGAAGACAAUCUAGCUACAAACUCUCAUUCCUUGAUAAAAUGAUUAAUUCUCAAACAUUACUAGAAAUUUGCACACCAUUUUUUUAAACCAUAUUUUGCUCCAUAUAUACCUCAUAUUUUGAUAGGAUCAACAAGCAAUAAAAGUAAUUUAUUUUGCUAUGCCAAUAUUUUAUUUAAUAAUAAUUUUAAUUGAGUGAUUUUAUUGAUAGAAAUGUCUAAGUUUAGUGAUUUUAUUGAUACAAAACAAAGUUCAAUGACUUUGUUAGAUAAAUUCUCAAAGUUGGGUGACCUUUUGAGAUAUUAACUCUAUAAUAUGACGACCCUUUCAGUAUAUUGCUUUAGUUAUUGCACUACCGAGAAAUCUAUGAUUUCUAUUCAUAAUUUUAUCAAAUCCGGAGUUAUUCGGACUCCAUUAUAAUAAAAUCAAACCACCGUAAAAUUAAAUACAUAUAGCAUAUACAUAUCAUUUGUAGCCUAAGUAUUUUUUUCAUCUAGUAAUUGUAAGGAGUGAUGCAACUUUGAUUUUACAUGUGUUCAAACUUUUGUAUUGCUCUUUGAUUUCCUUGGUGUCCACAUUGCUUAAUGUCUUAUUAGAACGGGAGCUGUUUAUCCAAUUUUAGACCUUGAGCUACAUGUCAACAAAGGUGGAGUAGAAGGACUUCUGACAUUUACAAAAGUGUUGUAAACCUUGUGAUUAAAGGUACUAUCAAAGGAAAGAAAUGUGUUUUGUAAUAGAAAGUGUCAACAAUGAGCUAACCUAUUGAAAGUUAUGUUGGAAGAGUUUCUUUGAUUUUUGCAGAUAGGAGUGAGCUCAUAGAAAUUUAUAAAUCAAUUCAAUCAUAGAACAAUAUUAAGUAACUAAUUUUACAAGAUCCAAUGAGAAGCAUAGGCUAUAAAGUGAACAUAAUUUUUUUUGUAGAACAUAAUUGUGUUACUUACCUUUCCAAAUUUUGUUCAUAAAUUUUUCCGUAUUCUAAUCAAACGCAUCUUAUAAAUGGACAGUAAUCAAAUGACCAUAUUUGAGAUCACUACAUCAAAAAUAAUCAUUAGCAAAAAUUAAUUUUUAAUUGCCGUUAAAUAUGUAUUUUUAGCGGCAAUUAGCACUCUUUGUAUAUGUCCCUAAAGUCUUUAACGACAUUGGUUCUAAUAGCACUUAACUAAUACCGGUAAAGACUUUAACACUCUUUAUUACUGUCAAUAUUUAUUGCCGCUAAAAGUUAUUUUUGUUGUAGUGGAUACACCCAGUGAAAUUCUUGAAUAUAUAAAGGAAGAAAGUCACUCCAUUCACUCGAGUAUAUAAAAGAAGGAAACUACUCGUAAUUUGAUAACCACAAAUUAAAAUUGAACUUCAUUUUUUGGGCACCUAGAUUUUGAUUCAAAUAUGUAAUAUAUUAUGCUCAAUAUUGUUCUAGUCCAGUUGAAAUCAAUAUUCAAAUUGAAUAAAUUUCAUAAUAUUAUGACGUAGAAAGUCAUAAUAAGCUUGUUUGGAUCAUGCCUUUCCUUGUUGCAUGCUAAAAUCACUAAAUGAUAUAAGACCUCUGACUUUCUUAAAUUAGUGUAUUGUUACAAAUUGGAGUAAUCCUCUCUUAGCAAUUUAGUUUAGGCCACAAGUUUUUGAGACUAAAAAAGACCUGAGAAAUCUUAUGUUUUUGCAAUCGACUUGGCAUUUCAAAAUCAUGUUAGGCAAAGCUUUGUAGUUUAAAGCAAUAUUUUUUAAAAAAAAUAAUAAUAACUUUAUCAAUGAGCUUCAAAAUGCUACAACAGAAAGGACAAUAUCUUUAUUAGCCUUUCUUAAUAUAGUUUAAUUAAUAUUAUUUAUUAUGUCUAAAUGUUAAUAUUUAUCUCAAAAAGUAUGAAUACAGAGCUCAAAUGUUAUGAAUGAAAAUAUGAUUUACUUGAUCUGUUUUCGCCUUCCCUUUCAAUCUUAUCUAAGCUUUGUAACUGAAGGCGUUAUUGUAUGAUCUACUUGUACGAUUUUUACGGCAUAAUAUCUCAUUUAAAACGUAAGAUUAAUGUGUCUACCAAUUCUAGAAAUGUUUAUAGAGAUUUAGGUACGAUAAUAAAAUGAUUAAGCUUCAUCUAUGAAACACGUGUUUUUCGUGAUAUAUCCCUAUUUCUUCUCAUUGAUCUAUUUUCUGUCCUAGCUUUAAGAAAAAAUGCUUUGCAAAAUGGAUGACCUAAUCUGAAAGUUUCCCAUUGAAACUUAAGCCACCAUAGGUAUGAUGUAUUCACAUCCUCUUUCCUUCUUUCUUUCUUAUCAUUUUAAUUGGGGAAAAUACAUAGAAUUCCCCCUGAACUUGGCACGAAAACUUACUUUAGUACUUAAACUACACGAAUGUUUCUUUACCCCCCCCCCCAAUUUAAUUUGAAUUGAAUUUAAUUACCCCUUAAAGAGUGACGUGGCAAAAUUUGUAUCACCAACUUUUCAUAAGCGGGUGAGAAAGGAAAAGACAUCAAAAACUGACACAUAUCAUCUUUUUAUUGGAUAACAUACUUAAUAAUUUAUUUUACUAAUUUUUAAAUAUUUUAUUUUUAAUUAACUUUUCUCUCUCUAUAUUUCUUUUUCUGCAUCUUCUUCUUCAUUUUUUUUUUCCAUUUUUGUUCUUUUUCUAGCAUCUUCUUCUUCUUCUUUUUUUCUCUUCUCAUAACUCUUUCUCUUUUUUAUUCUUUUCAUUUAGUUCAAAUAAACAUUUACUUCCAAAUAUAACUUCUUCCACAUUUUUUCUUCUUCUUUUCUUUUCUAUUUUUAAUCGUUUCUUUCUUCUUCUUUUUUACAAAAUUUUUGGUGUUUGAUUCACCCACCAUUUUUUACAUCAAAGAAGAUUAUUAGAUCUAUCAGUUUAAAUCGUCUUCAGAAUGAAGUUGACUUCCAUUAAAAAAAAAUCGAAGAUAUUGUUGGCAAAAUAUUAACUAUGGAGAUUUCCCCCAAUUCAUUAAUAAUUUUUCAUUUUUAUGCAAAUAUUUUUUUAAAUUUUUGAGGAAGGUGGUAUCGUAUAACUAAACUGAAAAUACAAUUGAAAUUUGAAUUAUAGUUUGUAUAUUGAGGAGUAAAUUCAUUGAUGGGUUUAAUUUUUGGCUCAAUAUUUUUAAAAAACAAUUAUUAUGGAGAUUUAAGCAAUUAAUUAGGAAUUUUGCUAAUGUACACGUGGACGAAUGAAAAACGCGUGUGACUCAACAACACUCAGCCUUCAACUAGGCUGGUGCUGGGAAGUUUGAAAAAAAUCACUUAAAAGAUGUUAAGGGGGUAUAUAAACAUCCGUGUAGUUUAAGUACUAAAGUAAAUUUUCGGACCAAGUUCAGGUGGGUUUUUAUGUAUUUUCCCUUUUAAUUGGCUUUCUUCCACCUAAUUCUUUCAACCAUUCAAAUUUAAUAGUAUUUGUUUUUGUUGUCUUCACACCUUCUUUUCCGAGAUUUAGUUUUACAAACAUAGUAUUUAUUAAUUUAAAUGCAUAAGGUGCAUUAAAUGCCUCAAAUUAGUUGAUAACGAACACAAAAUACAUGAAAAAGACAUAAUACAUGUAGAAAUCAAGAAUAUUUGCUAACAAACAUGUCAAAACUCUAGCACACAUAUUAUACACAUUCACCCCAAUUUCCAACACUCAAUAACAACUAUAAGCAUAAAAAAUUCAUUUGCCAAAACUUUUACAAACACAUAUUAUAUGCCUCAAAAGAGAAGUAGGUUAAGAACAACGUAAGUAGAUAGAAAAAUUCUCCUGAAAACAGAGCGAUAUUCAGCGAGGGAAGAAGAAAGCACUUGUGAAAAUUAAGGAGUAAAUAUCUCAAAGCUCAGUCGAAUUAUGUUGUAAAGUCAUUCAACUUUAUUUUGUAUCAAUGAAAUCAUUGAACUCUUUUAUAAAAUUAGUUGAUCAAAUUUACCAUAAAAAACAUUUUAACAUGAUAAAAUAAAUUAAUUGCUCUCCCACAUAUCUCAAUCUUUUAUAUGUUAUUCUUCUUUUCUGCAAUAAUUACAAAAAAAUUACUCUCCAUUUCAAAAAAUUACAAUCAUGGAUCAAUGAAUUAAGUGUAAGAUAUGAAUUUUUUUUUAAAUUAUUGGUGAAAUUAUUUUUAAAUAUAAUACGAACAAUAUAAUAUGGGAAGAGGAGAAAGUGGAUACCUCAUCACGUUCAGUUUUCAUACGUUCCCUCGAAUGGGUUCGAUUCGCUUCACAAAUUUACUAAAAAGUUCAAAAUUCAUGCCAAUUGUUUUUAACUUGUUCAUGACUUUUAAAUAUUUUAAGAAGUUUCUCGUAAAUAUAUUUUAAAAAAUAAUGAUUUUAUCUUGUAGAAUAAUUUUUAUGGUAAGUUUGAUCGAGUUAUUUUAUAAAAGAAAUAUUCAAAGUUGAGUGAUUUUAUUGAUAUAAAACAAAGUUGAAUAAUUUUACAAUAUAAUUUCUCAAAGUUGAAUGACCUUUUGAGAUAUUUACUCGAAAAUUAAGAGAAAUUUAACGCUUUUGGAAUUAUGAUACUGUAAGGGAAAAAUGGAUCAUUCCAUAGAUAAUAUAAAAAGCAUCUAUGUGUUACACAUAAUACAUGUGUCUUUGUGAUAUGAGUGAGGUAAGCUUAAGAAAAUUACAGAUUUGUCCUUGUUGGUCCUUCCCAACUCCCUACAUAGUACACAUGUCUUUGUGAAAUGAGUGGGGAGUAGUACUUGUUUAAUGAAAUGGCCCCCAAUACAGUACAACUUGUAUUACCUUUGGUACAUCUAUUUGAUGCUAUGUUAGUCCCACUAACUAUAGUACAUGUGUCUUUGUGAUAUGAGUGGGGUAAGCUUAAGAAAAUUACAGAUUUGUCCUUGUUGUUCCUUCCCAACUCCCUACAUAGUACAUGUGUCUUUGUGAAAUGAGUGGGGAGUAGUACUUGUUUAAUGAAGUGGGCUGGUACAACUUAUAUUACCUUUGGUUCAUCUAUUUGAUGUUGUGUUAGUCUCAUCAACUCCCACUUAUAUAUAGGAGUAAUAUUGAAUUUCAAAAUUUUAAUUAUAUCACAUGACACAAAUUUCGGCAGACGAACUAUAACACUGAUAUGCUUCAUCUUUCCGAUGCCCAAAUGGCAAUCACUAUUAAAAAAAAACUCAACGGAUGUUAGUAAUACAAGUAUUUCAAACAUACCAAUAAGUAGUAUUUAUUUGGUAUUAAACAAAAAUAUUUCCUCCGUUUUAAUUUAUUUAUUUGGUUUUGACGUAUGCAGAUUUUAAAAAAAACCAAAGAGAAUUUUUGAAUCUUAUGGUUUAGAAUUUUUGAAUCUUCCGGUAUUAAACAUACCAAUAAGUAGUUGCCGAAGAAGGAAAGUGUCAUUUUUUUUUAGGCCUAAAAAAAGUAAGACAAAUAAAUCGGAAAUAAUAUUUUUUGAAAAAAAAAAACAAGUUAAGAAUAACAUUCUUGAUUACUUAAUUGAUGCAGCCAAGAAAUCCAGUAACAAAAAUGAAGUACAUGAAGCCGAAUAUGGCGGGUACCCUGGUGAUGGCGAUGGAUACCCUGGCGGCGGCCGUGGUGGUGUUGGUGGCGGAUACCCUGGCGGUGGCCAUGGUGGCGGUGGUGGUGGCCGUGGUGGUGGUGGAUACCCUGGCCAUGGUGGUGGUGGUGGAUACCCUGUCGGUGGUAGUAAAUACUCAGGCAACCGUGGUGGUGGCGGCCGGAAGUGUUGCUCCUAGAUACAAAGGUGAAUAAAUAGUAAUAUAUACUUAUAUCACCUUGUACUAAUUAGUGGCAAGAUGUAGUAGUAAUAUUCUUGCUGCUUUAAAUUUGGAGCUUAUUGUAAGAAUUAUUAUCAUGAAAUAAAAGCCAUCAUGUAAUGUUUGUUAAUUAUGCUAUGGUAUGAUAAUACUUUCCUUUGGUGUUUUACUUAUGGGCGGAAUUCUUAUUUCAUAUUAUUAUAAUUUGUUUCAAUUAACCGUUCACUAUUAUUAUCAAUAUCAAGUAUCAAUAUACAUCAAUAGUGUAAAUUUGCUUAUAUUUUUCUCUUCGAUUUCCGUGGAACUCAUCACACAUUUAUUAUGAAACAUACUUAUAAUGUCCAAAAACUAUGUAAAUUUAGAUUAGGCAAAAUUGAGGGCAUUUAUUAUUCUACGAUUUUCUCAAAUGUUUUGAAUUAUUGAUUAUUGUAGCUCUUUUUUGAAAAACUAAUUAUAGUAGUAUGACUUAUAAUACUUGGUAUUUGGGUCAAAAUAUGUGAUUUUAAAAAAAAAAAUUGGAAAAAUCAAUAUAUGUCUGAAUUCACAAAAAAAAUUCGAAAAUGAUAAUCGAAUUAUAAAAUGAAAUAGGCUUCAUUGUUGGAUUUUAUUAUAAGAAGCAUCACUGUGAAGACAAUCUAGCUACAAACUCUCAUUCCUUGAUAAAAUGAUUAAUUCUCAAACAUUACUAGAAAUUUGCACACCAUUUUUUUAAACCAUAUUUUGCUCCAUAUAUACCUCAUAGUUUGAUAGGAUCAACAAGCAAUGAGAUGAGUCUGUCCAUAAAUCCACAAUUAGUACUUAUAAAAUCAUUCUUUUCGAAAGAAAGUGUCAAGUGUGUUGGAUUUAUAGCUUGUUCUACAGCAAACAUUGGUACUUGAGUAGGAUAGAGCAAUUCCGUGUUUAUAUCUUUCCAUGCAUUACUCAUUAUCUUCUGAACCUCGAUAUAUGUCUCUUGCUUUGAAACUACACGUUCUUUCAUAUAACAUUCAAGGAAUGAUGGUAUAUGUGUUCUUUGUUGUUCAAACUGCAUCAAAUAGAUUUUAAUAUGCUCAAUACAAUAAUAUAUUUAAUUUUUAUCAAAUUCAUUUAUUAUCUUACAUGAUGUCCAAUAAUGUCGUCCUUUAAUAGACUUAAUACUGAUGAAGCUUGAAGAACCGAAGAAUCACUUGUUACCCAUUCCAAAGUUUCUUUGGUUAUAAUAAAUUCCUCCAAACAUACCAAGGAAAUUGUUGCAAUCAAUUUGAUGGCAAUGCUUGUAAUUGCAUUUUCCAUAUACUCCUCACAUUUUGGAAAAUAGCAAGCAUUCAACCAUUGUGCUUCCUUGAAAUAUUAUUUCAUCCAUUUUUUCAUCUAUAAAGAAACAAUAUAAAAAGUAAAAUUAGAUAAUAAGCAUACUUUAUCUAGUUUUGGAUUGUAAUUUUGUCACGCUCCGAGCCUACAUCCUGGGCGGGACUGGCACUCGAAGACCAUUGCUGGCCACAAGUGAACCCUUGGUCUGGCUUACUUACUCAGUGGAAGACAAUAUUCAUACUUAAUGAUCAAUAACACUUAACUGAACUAAAUCAUAGGAUAACUGAGAAUGUUAAAAGCUAAACAUUCAACUUGGCCAAAAGUGGCAACCCAAGUCUUAACAAUAAGAAAUGAUAUUGAAAAAACUCAAAGGACUAACAUAUGACUGUCUAUGAAGCCUCUAAUGACCAAUGAGAUGGAUGUUGGGACAGACCCCACAACAUCCUAAUUAACUAAACUAGAAAGCAAUGAAAUGGAUGCUCCGGAAAGCAAGGAGGCUUACCAACAGACUCUGGACUGCUCACUGGAUCAACGAUGCACCGGAAUGUCGAUCCUAGUUACAUGUGUCUGCAUCAUAAUACGAUGCAGGCCAACUGACAUCAGUACAUUGAAUGUACGAGUAUGCGAGUUGGAAUGCUAAAAUAACAUAGGCAUGAAAGAAUUUGAGAGAAACUGAAGAACUUACCUAGCUCAACUCAACUCAACAUGACAGAAUUCAUUUCAAUAUAAAGCAGUUCAAAAGCAAGUGCAAUAUAAAGAAAAGUUGUUUAAAAACAUGAUAUCAACUCUGUGUGUAUACAAGAUACAAAUAACUCUGAAAUGUAUUUAAAAAUACAAUGAACUGAUGUAUAUAAAAAUACAAGAACUUAUGUGGGAGUUUCUCUAACCGACAACCAUCACUUAAGAGCUAUAGUGAUGAUACAACGAUCUNNNNNNNNNNNNNNNNNNNNNNNNNNNNNNNNNNNNNNNNNNNNNNNNNNNNNNNNNNNNNNNNNNNNNNNNNNNNNNNNNNNNNNNNNNNNNNNNNNNNNNNNNNNNNNNNNNNNNNNNNNNNNNNNNNNNNNNNNNNNNNNNNNNNNNNNNNNNNNNNNNNNNNNNNNNNNNNNNNNNNNNNNNNNNNNNNNNNNNNNNNNNNNNNNNNNNNNNNNNNNNNNNNNNNNNNNNNNNNNNNNNNNNNNNNNNNNNNNNNNNNNNNNNNNNNNNNNNNNNNNNNNNNNNNNNNNNNNNNNNNNNNNNNNNNNNNNNNNNNNNNNNNNNNNNNNNNNNNNNNNNNNNNNNNNNNNNNNNNNNNNNNNNNNNNNNNNNNNNNNNNNNNNNNNNNNNNNNNNNNNNNNNNNNNNNNNNNNNNNNNNNNNNNNNNNNNNNNNNNNNNNNNNNNNNNNNNNNNNNNNNNNNNNNNNNNNNNNNNNNNNNNNNNNNNNNNNNNNNNNNNNNNNNNNNNNNNNNNNNNAAAUCCUAGAUUCCCCUUUUACUGAUUUAAACGUAGAUGUAGGGCGUGAGUAUAAACUAGUCCAACACUAUGAUAGCCUUACAUACUUGAAUAAAACAAGGUUCUUGAAGAAUCUUGAAGAAGAACUUGAUUAGAAGCCUUGAAACCCUAGCUUGAAGGUAAACAAUCAAGAAGACCUUUCUUGAGAUUCUCGAGUUAGUUUCUUAAAAUCUCUAUAGCCAAAAAUUAUGAUUUUCAUGAGUGAAGAUGAAAAUCUGAUUGUUUUGAGCUUUUUAUUAGUUCAAGAAAUUCGUUGAUGGUUUUCUUGGAGGUAAAAAGACAAAAACGAUUAUUUUCAAUAUUUUCCCGUCGGCUAAUUCGUAACAGCACUGUAUAGGUUACUAAAAUAGUCAUAACUUUUUACUCAGAUAUUGGAUUGACAUGAAACUAGUGGGGUUAGAAAGUAGAUUCAAUUACCUUUAAUUGGAUAGGUUAUGACUCACGUAACUCUUAAUAUUCUAAGAGAUACGGUCGUUUAAAGUUGACCUAAGCAAAAUUUUACUUCAAAACUUAAUGAAACUUCAAGAACACUUAUCAAGAACUCAUCAAGAACUCUAAUCUUUAAAUUUCAUGAACGAAAUUACGCUAAAUAAAUCAUGAUUGGUGUGUGGGUGAAAGAACCCAACACUAUGGAAGCUUACAUACCUUAAUGGAUUGAAUCCUCGGCGAAAUUCCCAAGCAAUUCCUUACGACGACGAAGAAUCUAGCUUUUUCCUCCUUUUCUCUUUUCUUGCGUUCCUCCUCCAAAACCCUAGCUCUAUUUGGUAAAUGUCUAAAUUGAUCUAAUUCAGUUUAGACCCCUUAUUAAUUACCAAAAACGAUUUAAAAUAAGGGUAAGGAAAAGACCAAACUACCCUUUAAAAUCCGGAUUGGACAUUUCCUUAAUCCAACAGCCCAAUUUCCAAAGGGCAUAUCUUACUCCUACGAAAUCGGAAUCGCGCAAACUUGGCGGCGUUGGAAAGAUAGUUCCAAGAACUUUCCAACCAUAUCUAUAAUUACUCCUAACUCAUCCUGAGCUAGGAGUUAUGAUCAUUUGAAAAUGACAAAAACUCAACUUUUCUUGCUUACAAUUUUCCAGAUUUCCCUUGAACGUUCCAAAAACGAAAAUUUCCAGAUUUAAACUACAUUCUAAUUAUUUCUAGAUGCGGGAUGUUACAGAUUUCACUAAUUAUCACAUGACUUUUGUUUUAUCGUGUACCAAAUUCACUAAAUUAUUUUUCCAUGGUAAUUAUAUUUUCUUCAUACGUUCACACCGACAAGUAAAAGUGAAAAUGUAUUUUUGAAACACUGGACAAAUAAAAAUGAAUAGAGUGAGAGUAAUUAUUUUACAUAGAUUAAUUAAUGAGGAUGAGUUAUCAAGCAAGCUUAAUUACCUCAACUUUUGCAUAGUAGGCCCGGUCUGCUUUACCUUCUUUUUUCAAUUCAUCUUCUAUUUCAUUUAUAAUUUGCUAUUUCAUACAAUUUUUCCUAAUAAUAUACCACAGAAUUUAACAUGGGCCGGGUUCAAACUCUUAUUAUAAUAAUGUUUUUUUAAUGCGUCAUAAUUCAAUAUCAACAUUAAUUUAGGAGAUUUAUGAAAUUAUUUUAUCGCGGAAUUGAAUCCACUAUGACCAUAGUUUGUAUUAUCGAUCAUAGAAAUUAUCACAAAACAAAUUAAUCCUUUGAUUUCUCCAUACACUCAUAUUGUGUGUAUAUUUACUUUUAUAUGUAUACCAUAAAUAUAAAUAAGAGGACGCUAGUUAAUAUAUGCUAACGAGCUAAUUAACAGUAGUACUCUUAUGAAUAAAUCCGACUCAAUAAUAAUUUUCGAGUUUAGUGGUUGGUUGGUUGGUGAGCAUAAUUAAUUAAUACAUUUUUUUGUGAUAAGCAGAACUAACAAACAAGACGUUUUGUCAACACAAUUGGUAAGUGUCUGUUUGACAUUUUCCACAAGCAUUUAUUCGUCGGCAUUAAUAAAACUGUAUGUAUGUGGCUAUUAGAGCCUGUUAUCUUUUCAUAUAUAUAUAUAUAUAUACUAGAUAAUGUUGCCCGUGCUAUGCACGGGACCAAUAAUAUAAAUGGUGUGUUUUGGGGCUAAUAAUCGAGUUUUUGAAGCAAUUGUUUGCGUGGAUAAAGGAAUAAAUUUUUUUAUCACAAACCUGUACUUUCUUUGACGCUAUUUAAGGCAUAAUAAGACAACCCACAUACAACAUUUUUGAAAUAUUUUAUGUUGUCAAUUAUCAUGAUUUAUAGUAUUUUUACGAUAGAUUCACUUCAAGAAUCAGUGGAAUUUUUUGUAUUUUUUUUCAAAACAUAUUUUAUAUUGUCAAUUAUCAUGAUUUAUAGUAUUUUUACGAUAGAUUCACUUCAAGAAUCAGUGGAAUUUUUUGUAUUUUUUUUCAAAACAUAUUUUAUAUUGUCAAUUAUCAUGAUUUAUAGUAUUUUUACGAUAGAUUCACUUCAAGAAUCAGUGGAAUUUUUUGUAUUUUUUUUCAAAACAUAUUUUAUAUUGUCAAUUAUCAUGAUUUAUAGUAUUUUUACGAUAGAUUCACUUCAAGAAUCAGUGGAAUUUUUUGUAUUUUUUUUCAAAACAUAUUUUAUAUUGUCAAUUAUCAUGAUUUAUAGUAUUUUUACGAUAGAUUCACUUCAAGAAUCAGUGGAAUUUUUUGUAUUUUUUUUCAAAACAUAUUUUAUAUUGUCAAUUAUCAUGAUUUAUAGUAUUUUUACGCAAUUUUUAAAUAUAAAAAAAAAUAAGACAAAUAAAUUAAAAUGGACCCAAUAUAUGUUAUUUUUGUUGUGAAAUUUGGAGAGUCGUCCAAAUUUUCAUAUAUUUUUUAAAAAUGUUUUAAGUUAUUAAUUAUUGUGAUUUAUAAUAUUUUUAUGUAACUUUUAAAUAACGUACAUUACUGGUCACUUUGUCCUAAUUUAUGUGAUAUGGAUAAAAUUACAAAAUUAACCCUUUUAAAAUGUCUUUCAGAUAUUUUAAGUUGUUAAUUAUUAUUAUUUAUAAUACUUUUUUGGUAAUUUUAAAAUGAUAUGUGUUAUUUUUUCUGUCCCAAUAUAUGUGAGCCUGAUAGAAUUCUGAGAGUCAACGUAUUUUAUUAUAUAGCUUUUUAAAAUAUUUUAAAAUUGGUAAUUAUUGUAAUUUUUAAUGCUUUUUAAGUCAUUUGUAAAUGAUAUAUGUGCCAGAUCAGUCGAUUUUUUUAUAUGUUUUCUUAAAAAUAUAUUUGAAGUUAUUAAAUUGUUGUGAUUUAUAGUAUUUUUGCGUUAGUUUUGAAUAAUAUAGGUUACUCAUAUUUCAAUUCACGUGAAUAAUAAUAAAUAUUUUCAGUUGUUAAUUUAUUGUGAAUUCUAGAAAUUUUGACGUUAUUUUCAAAUAGUACAUGUUACUUAUUCUAUUCCAAUUAGUCAACCAAAUUCCAUAUAUGAUUUAAAAAUAUUUUUAAUUGCUAAUUAUUGUGAUUUAUAGCAUCUUUUAUGUAACUUUUAAUAAUAUAUAAUUUGUUCAAAUUCAUAUGACAAUGAUAAGAUUUCAAGAGUCAACGCAAUAAAAAUUUAAAUUUUUUAAAAAGUUGUACCUCUAAUAUAUUUUGUAGCUAAAAUAUACUCUCUCCGUCCACUUGUAUUUGUCAUGUUGCGCUUUUUGAAAGUCCAUUUGACUAAUUUUCAAAGUUAAAUCAGAUUGUAUUAAUGUAUUUUUAGAAAAAAAUUUAAAUAUGCAAAAUCUAUACAAAAAGUACUAUAAAUCGUAAUUUUUUGCCUAUGAUUAUGAUGAAAAAACACAUUGUAAAAUAUUAGUUAAAAUUCUUAUAGUUUGACUCUAAAAAGGAAAUCAUAACAAUUAAAAGUGCAUAGAGAGAGUAAUAAAUAGGUAAUUAAAUUUCAAGAAGUUUAAAAUAAAAGGUUGAAAAAAAGAAUUAGAUAGACAACAUUUAUUGAAAAUUGAAAACAUAUAAAUAAUAAAUGGGCCCAAAUGAGGUCAAACUUUUUGGCUUAAAUUGUCCAAUAAUAUAAAUUUUAAAGGUACAACCAUAAAAGAAGAAUGUACAACACUAGCAAGCACAUAUCAUCCAACAUUUGUCAUGUGCUAAGUAGUAGUUAUCCCCACUUAUUAUAUAUAAUAAUAUAUAUACAUAAUUUUAUGUUAAAAAUAUGUUUGAUACGAUAAAAAAAUAUUAUUUCAAAAAUAUUUAUAAUAUAAUCAGACAAACACUCUGAGGUUGGAAGAGGGAUGGAUGAAGGCGAGGGGGAUGGGGGGGGGGGGUGUUGAGAGCCUGUCGGAGCAUGGGUUUCGAGAGGAGGUGUGGUGCAUGGUAGGAUAGGGACGUAGAGACGAGGGUGAACUAGAGAGACAAUCAAGUUAGAAUAACACUAAUGUAAAAUUUAUUUUUUCCAUCAUGUAUACCAUUUUUAGAGAAUACAAGUCACUUACUUUUUUUUAAUAAAAUAUUUUUAGAAAAUUUUGACAAUGAAGAAACACAAAAGAGUCACAUGACUAUGUUUAUUUCAAUGCAAUAUAUUAUAUUCAUUUUUGUAUGAUAUAAAUCCAAUAAAACAUCAACAUUUAAUAUACCAUUUCCCCACAAGAGCCGUCGACUACUUUGCUAACAAAAAGAUUUUGGUGAUCUUAUAAUGUGUCCAAAAUGGAUAAUGAACCCACAUAAAUUCGUAUAGGGGUGUGCAAAAAUCGAUUUAACCAAUAAACUGAACCAAAAAAAACACUAUUGGUUUAUUGAUAUUGGGUUAUUGGGCUAACGGUUUUUAAACGGUUUUGCAAAAAAUUUUAUUGGGUUAUUGGUUCGGUUUCCGGUUUGAUAAUUUUUGUUAAUGGUUAAACCGAUAACCCAAUAAGACUAUACUAAAUUUAUUAGUCUUAUUGUUAAUGGUUAAACGAUUGUUACUUUCACACUUUUUCCUUUGAAUGUGUCUAGUGUCUAAACUUGCAAGAAAAAUGAUUGUUACUUUUAUGAUUAUUACUUUCAUGCCAAAUGCUGGAAAAAUCAUAUGGUUUAUUUGAAAAUUUUCUUAUCGUGUAUAUAAUAUAUAUGAGUAUUUUCUUAUUGGUUAAACCGAAAACCGAACCGUUAAGUACCAUAAACCGAUUAACCAAAAACCGAUAAGAAAUAUGUUAUUGGUUUGGUUAUCAGUUUGAAGUAUUUACAAACCGAAAACCGAUAAACCGAACCAAUAACACCUAAAACCGAACCGAACCGAACCGACCGAUGCUUGGUUAUCGGUUUGAAGUAUUUACAAACCGAAAACCGAUAAAUCGAACCAAUAACACCUAAACCGAACCGAACUGAUCGAUGCGCACCACUAAAUACGUACGGUUGAGAAAUAUAAUGUUUUGUAGUUUUGAAGGUCUGAUUGGAUUUAAUCAUUGAAAUUUAUUGAGAUUUUGAUAUUAAUAGGUUGAACGUCAAAUUUAAUUUCGUGUUCAUCUAUCAGAAACUUUCGGAUAAUAUAUUCUAAAAUUAAAACAUAAUUUAUAUUAAAAUCACAAUAAUCUGUCCGAUAAAUUUGUAGCGAGACAAGUCUUUAUCUAUCGAUCCAAAUUUAAAGAUAUCAAAUUAGACUUUUUAUGUAGAUAAAUAUGUAUCAGUUUGUUACAUGUACGUUUAACUUAAAUAUAAUGCAACAAAUUAUAUAUAGUACUUGUCAUGUGUAUGAACUCAAAUGUGAAAUCUUCACUAAAUUUCUUCAGCUGCCGACUGAAUAUUGGUCCACACAUUAAUUCCAUAAAUGCAUGUUCCCGCUCUAGGGGCGGAUCUAGAGUAUCGAGCGUGAAUUUUCAGAAACGUAAUAAUUUUUACAUAAAUCUUCUAUUUAUAUUAAAAAAUCUAUUAAUUAUAUAUAAAAUAUUUGUUGAAAAUCUAAUAACAAAAUAAGUUCUUAGUUCAAUGGUAGAAACGAAACCUACUUAAGUUUUCAGUGAGGGUUUAAUACUUUAAUUCCUCUUGGGUACUUAUAUUAAAGUCCUCUUUUAAAAUAAAAAAUAAAAAAUUGAGAUCGUUAAAAGCCCAUAAACUUUAAAUUCUGAAUUUGCUUCUGUCCGCUACAUCCAAAUAAUACUCUCUUCAAUCAUUUUAUCCAUUCAAAUCUUUCUAUAAAUAGAACCCAACAAUCUCUCAAUUUCAUCAUCCUUUAAUUAAUUCAAAUAUCAUAAGGGAAACAAAAAAAUGGGUUCCAAGGCAUUUCUGAUUCUUGGCCUUUUUUUGGCCAUAUUUGUAAUGAUAAGUUCUGAGGUUUUAGCUAGGGAGUUGGCUGAGACUUCCACCACUACUUCUGAAGAGGAUUGUAAGUCUAUCCAUUCAGUAUAAUAUAUUUUUAUAAUUUAUUUCGAAAAUAUUGAGUUCAGAUGAAUAUUUCUACUUGUGCUCUAGAUGCUAGCUUGACCAAUUAUUCUUACUAAUUGUUCAAUUUAUAUAAUUAGUUUUACAUUUUGCAUGUAUAUUACGAUAACAAUAAUAACAUAUUCAGUGUAAUGUCAUAAAGGAUAUGGGAAGGUGGUAUGUACACAACUAUACUCUUAUCAUGUGAAGAUAGAAAAGUUGUUUAAUUCGAUCCAUUCUCGACUCAAGUAAAACAUAAGGUAGUCCAUGCUGAACCUAAUGAAAUUUUGCAUAUAUAUUACUAUAUAGUAUAUUUUAACCUUCUGAACUUUGACGAGAAAUCUCCAUAUAAGUUAUGGAUUACAGAACUUUAUAAUGCAGAGUUGGUAUUAAACAAAAAUGUUCCCUCCGUUUUAAUUUAUUUGUUUGGUUUUGACGUAUGCAGAUUUUAAAAAAAAGUAACGAGAAUUUUUGAAUCUUAUGAUUUAGAAUUUUUGAAUCUUCUGAUAUUAAACAUACCACGUGGAAAAGCUAAAAUAAGGAGUUGCCAAAGAAGGAAAGUCUCAUUUUUUUUUAGGCAUAAAAAAUAGUAAGAAAAAUAAAUCGGAAAUAAUAUUUUUUGAAAAAAAAAAACCAAGUUAAGAAUAACAUUCUUGUUUACGUAAUUGAUGCAGCCAAGAAAUCCAGUAACAAAAAUGAAGUACAUGAAGCCGAAUAUGGCGGGUACCCUGGUGGUGGCGGUGGCGGUGGAUACCCUGGCGGCGGCCGUGGUGGUGGUGGUGGUGGAUACCCUGGCGGUGGUGGUGGCAGCCGUGGUGGUGGUGGUUGUGGAUCCCCUGGCGGUGGCCAUGGUGGUGGUGGUGGCGGCCGUGGUGGUGGUGGAUACCCUGGCGGUGGUGGUGGCGGUGGUGGAGGCCAUGGUGGUGGUAGAUACUCAGGCGGUGGUGGACGUGGUGGUGGCGGCGGCCACGGUGGACGUGGUGGUGGCGGCAGGAAGUGUUGUUCCUAGAUACAAAGGUGAAUGAAUAGUAAUAUAUAAGUAUCACCUUGUACUAAUUAGUGGCAAGAUGUAGUAGUAAUAUUCUUGCUGCUUUAAAUUUGGAGCUUAUUGUAAGAAUUAUUAUCAAGAAAUAAAAGCCAUCAUGUAAUGUUUGUUAAUUAUGCUAUGGUAUGAUAAUACUUUCCUUUGGCUGGGUUUGAGAGAGAGAGCGUGAGAUAGUUGGUCUAAUAACUAGUCCAACUUCCUUGUAUCUGAAAGCGAUGACAGGAUGUUAGGUCUAGUAAGGAGACUUUUUGGAUAAUUUACUUCCACGAAUAGAUUGUUAGGCUAAGAAGAAUAGGUUGGGAUUGAUCCCACCUUUGAAAGAGUGGUUUUGCUCUGUCAAUACGGUGUUUUACUUUUGGGCGGAAUUCUCACUUUAUAUAAUUAUUUAAAUUUAUAAUUUCAUAUUAUUAUAAUUUGUUCGACUAACCGUUCACUAUUAUUAUCAAUAUCAAGUAUCAAUAUACACCAAUAGUGUAAAUUUGCUUAUAUUUUUCUCUUCGAUUUCCAUGGAACUCAUCACAUUUAUUAUGAAACAUACGUAUAAUAUCCAAAACUAUGUAAAUUCAGAUUAGGCAAAAUUGAGGGCAUUUAUUAUUCCACGAUUUUAUGAAAUGUUUUGAAUUAUUGAUUAUUGUAGCUCUUUUUUGAAAAACUAAUUAUAGUAGUAUGACUUAUAAUACUUGGUAUUUGGGUCAAAACAUGUGAUUUUAAAAAAAAAAUUGAAAAAAUCAAUAUUUGUCUGAAUUCACAAAAAAAAUUCGAGGCACCAAUUCCAUGGCACUAAUGUCACAUCUGCAUGAAAUUAUACAAAAAAUAAAUAGUUUGAUUCUUACACGUGAUCAAAUUACCGCCACAUAAAAUGUAACGAAGGGAAUAACAUUGUUAUACUUUACCUCUCUAUUGCAUUUGUGAAAAGCUCAAGUUCAUCAAAUGUUGCAUAAGCAUCAAAUGUAUCAUCAACAAUGCUAAUGAUGGCAAUUAUUUUUCCUGUCAUUAUUCUUGCACGACUCUGUUGAGGCUCAAAAUGCAAUCCAACUGCUCCAAAAUAACACUCCACCAAUCUGUCUCUUGCAUAUGAAAAUUUAUUUGCAACAUCGAUAUUUUUCCACCAUCUAUAGUAUAAAAUAUCAAAUAUAUAUUAAUUAGGGAUUAGUUACGUAAGAACCAUAAUUAUGAGAUUGAAGAGGGUAUAAGAGUACUAAUCUUUACCUUGUAAGUUCGCUAAGCUCUCUUUGGUACACCUUUUGCAAAAUAUUGAAAUCCAAUUUCGCAAAUUUCAAAAGUAAAUUGUUACGUGAUUCAUCGUUCUCAUACAUAUAUAUGUUUUUCCUUGCUAACAAUCUUGGUAGAUUUGUAUGAAUGGGCUGGUUUAAGGCUUCACUAACUUGGGCCUUGACUGAGUUGCCCAAUUUAGGGGCCAUGGACUCCAGAUGAGUGACGGUAAAAGUUAGAGCUUCUUCAAGAAUUUCCUCUCCGUGUACUCUUAGAUGUGUUGCUUCGUAUAGACUUAAUAAUCCUUGCACAUCUUUAGUAAGAGUUUCCUUGAAUAUUCCGUCAUGAUUGGUGAAUUUUUUGAAGACAUCUGAUUUCACAUCAUAAUAUAAUUAUAUCAAAGAAAUUAAUAAAGAGCCACACAAAAUAGGAAUAAAUUAGUUACCAGAAGACAUGUAAUGUCUUUGUUGUCUCACUAGUCGAAAUUGAAGAGCAACAACGUAUAGAUCGUCAUCAUUUUUUAGACUCUUCAAAAAUGUUCUGAAUGGAUGUUUCGAUGUCAUUUUUGAAAUGAUAUGCCACUCCCAAUCGUUGGAUUGUGUCAAUCAAAACAAGUUUUUGUGUACUAUUAUUAGGUGACUCAACUAACAUUUGCCUUACUUUUUCUUUCAACUCUUCAUGUUCAUGUUUUUCUUUGCUACUAAUUUCCUGCACCAAAUGUUAAGUGUUAUUAUUUGACAUAGAGUAAUACCUCCAUUAUAUAAUUUAAUCAUAGGGAUUAGGGAAAAUAAUUAUUGCCUGUUUAUGCAACAUUUGAUUGACUGUAUAAGAAAAGGUUUGUAAAUGGAUACACUACCAAUAUAAUUGCCCUAUUAAUUAGGUCAAUUUAGCUAGGCGUUUGGACAUGAAUUAUAUUAAUGUUAUUUGAGAAAUAAUAAUUAGUAUUUGAAGAUGAAGUUUGUUGACACCCAAUUUUGACCUUCCCCGAUAAGAAUNNNNNNNNNNNNNNNNNNNNNNNNNNNNNNNNNNNNNNNNNNNNNNNNNNNNNNNNNNNNNNNNNNNNNNNNNNNNNNNNNNNNNNNNNNNNNNNNNNNNAAUUAGUUUAUAAUUAAGUUAAUUAUUUUAUUUCAUUGAAAUCAAGAAGCUCGUUAAUUAAUUAUAUUUAUUCAUCCUAUCUAAGUUUUAGCCAAAUUCACUAGUGAAAUACAUUGAUCAAAUCAAUAGUUCAUGUGGUUAUAUUAAAUGACCAAAACGUGGGCCUCUUUUACAAGUUCAGCAGCCCAUCUCUUUUUCCAAUUCCUUUUCACCUUUCCAAACCAAUUGGAAAUUCCCCACAACCCAGGCCCAUCCUCUGUUUCAGCCACAACUCCAGCAAAUCCCAUAUGUUACAACACCAAUGGCCCCAACGAUCCAGCCCAAUUCCCAUCCGACCCGGUCCACCAAUACACAAAAAUAACCCCAACAUUACAAUACCCACCAAACACACAAUACGUAUAGCAACACCCAAAACAGUACCCUGUGUUUUUCCCCAUUCCAGACGCGACAAAAGUCGAAACCCAGCGAUUCCAGCUCUAUUUUCAGCAAAGGGUCGUCCUUGCAGUUGUGAGAUGAGGCCACGUCGAGCUCCAAGGACGAUGGGAAUCGAUCCAGCCGUCCAUCCUCCAUUCCUUUUCCGGAAUGAAGUUGAAAUUUCAGAAAAAAGCUUGUUUUCCCCUUAAUGGUGUAAGUUUUUUUUGAGGAUUUGAAUUUCAAAUUGGGCCCUUCUAUCCGGAUUUUCAUCCGUUUUCCCCCCAUUUUUCGGAAUCAUAUUCUCCCUUCUAUAUAAUUGUUUUUGUUCACUGUGGGAAGGGGAGGAUUUUUUUUGGGAAAAAAAAUAUAGAAAGUUAGCCGAGCUUUACUCACAAAGGCAUAGUUUACAGGAGGUUUUGAGGAACACUCGAUUUUACGUUUUGAUAAAUUAUUGGAAAAACUUUCUAGUUCAAGGUUCUGGGAAGAUAGUUAUUCGGGUUUCAUUUAGUUUCUCUUGGUGUGCUGUUGGAACUCUUGAAGUUUUGUGUGUGGUGGUGGAAGCUCUCACGGCUAGCCUCGUCCCGUCCCCGUUCGCUGCUCGGAAAAGGUAAUAUCUCUUUUCUUCCGCGUCUUGUUUAGACUUUGGAUAAACCUGUUUCUGUGGAGUUCUUUUUUUUUGGGGUUUCAUUUUGUUCUAAUCUUAUUUUGAUUAGAAUACUCAUGGAUGAAAACUUGUUUAGUUUGAAUACAAGUGUUUAAAUUACUCCCGAAUAUGUCAUGCUUACGUUCUUGAGCGAUCCCUUUUUUAAAAACAUUUUUUCUGUAUCUAAUGCUAGUAUUGAUUCAAAAUGUUGCUGAUUCGUAUUCAAUGUUGUUGUUUCCCCUGCUUGCUCUAGUUUUUGCUUUUGCUUAUUCCUCUUAUCAAAUCCUCUGCUUGAAUCUCGUCGAACCCACUUUUCUCCACCCCUGCCCAUUUUAAAUUUAUCUUCACUUGUCUAUUUUUUUUUUAGCAUGAUUUGAUUUAUGUUUUCUGUCGAAGUUAAUAUCCUAAAUGAUCUCUCAACUUAGAUAUUUAUGUCAAUAAAAUCACUCAACAAAUUUAUCAUCAUUAAGAGAAAUCUGAAAUGACAAAAUAAUUUACUUUUUUUAUAGCAUGUAAAUAUGAAUUUCACAAAUAAAUAAAUUUUUAAAACCCAUUAAAACUUUUGACGGAUAUACUUUUUUUUACUAAGUAGGCGUUACUUAAAGGCGCAUAAUGUUGCUGCCAAUUUGAUUAAACUAUUAUAAAAAAUGGAAAGAUGUCUUUUAAUGAUAUAAUUUCCUAAUUGGAUUAAAUUAUUAUAAAAUAAAAAGAUGUCUUUUAAUGAUAUAAUUUCCUUUUUUUUAUGUUGAUAGAUUUGAACGGGUUAUUUCAAUAAAACGACGACACUAAUUAAUUGUUUAUCUAAUUUAUAAGCAUAUUUUAUUAAUACCAAAAAAAAUAAUAAUAAGUUUAAAGUGUAUGCGGUACUUCAUUUUAUUUUAUUUUCAUACACCUAUCAUAAUUAUUGCAAAGGUUAAAUACAUAAUAAUAUUACAAUACCCAGUUUACUAAUUAAGUUUGUUCUGCAUUGUUUAAGCAUGAGUAUCUUUCUCUAUAAUUUUGCUCUUUUAAUAACUUUUAAAGUUGCUUGUCACUUGCCUCUCCUUCAAAUUACUACUAUGUAUUAAGCUUUGGGCCACAAUAUUGAAAUGGUUACCAUAGAUAUAGCAGUAGCCUUAAUUUUCGGCAGUUGGGAUCUUAUACGUUGGAAAUCUGGCAUUCAAUUAUCAAAUGCCAUUGUGACUUACAUGUCUUCUAUCAACUUGUUUCUUUUUUUUGUAAGCUCGGACAAGUCUUUUCUUUUGGAUCUAAAAUUAUUAGUGUUUAACGUCAUGGAAUUAAUGUUAACAACUUAGUUUCCCCACUUCUCAAAUCUUUCAUUGCCUGACUGUUUAGCAUGAUGCGUCUUGAUCAAGUAUUUACUUCUUCUUCUUUUUCUAGCUAAGGAUCGCGUUUAGUGUAGUGUGACAUUGUUAGCUAAGCUACUGCCAGUUGUUUGCUAUAUUGAUAAGUCGUGCUCCUUUUUGAUACAUUCAUUAUUUAGUGAUUGGUUCAGAUAUAUUAUUGCGGGUUACUAAUUCUCAUUUUUGUGUUUGCAUGUGAAAUCUAUCCGGGUCCUCUGGAUCCCCUCCUUGUAUUCCUCUUUGGGCCAUGGAGGCCCAAUUCUAUUUUUAUCCGAGCCAGCCUAUUAAAAAAUUGACGAACAGGUCCCAAAGUUGAAAGAUGCCAUAUAUCGAGAAAUUGAAAGUUUGGGUUUUAAAAGGCCCACUCCUCUUUAAGAAUUGUAUUUUGUUAUUAUUGGGCCUAAGCCCUCGCCAUUUUACUUACUAUUACUUGUUAGUUCUUAGAACAGGUGAAAAUUGGGCCAAAGGCCCAAAAUGAAAAUGGGCCCAAAUACUGGCCCAGGCGGACAGAAAAAACCAGAUUUGGGCCCAAAUCUCUUUCCCUCCUUUAUUUGUUGUGUUUAUUUACUCGUCACUAUCUGCUAUUAGUCUUAAGGGUUUUAAAAUUUUCAAAUCCCCAAAAGACACCCAUUUUGAAUUAAUUACUUAACCAAUUAUUCGUCUUUACUUGACUUAAAUAAUAAAUAAAUAAUUUCACAAAAAUUUUUCACUUAGAUAAUAUUUCAAUAUUUCCCCCCUUUCCCCUUUAAAAAUAAUUCUAACUAUAAAAUAGUUCAAAUUUUUGCAAUUUAAGUUAAAGUCAAAAUUAUUUUAGCCAAAUAAAUUGAUUGUUGGAUAACCGCAUUAGCGGAUAUUCUAGGUGCCUUAAAAACCUUCCUAGAAUAUUAAUAGGAACCUCGAACCCCUCUUUAAAUAGUUUUCAAUAGAUUUACUGUUUUAGUCUUUUGAAAACAAUAGUUUUCUUGAUUUUUCUUAAAAAUUAAGUGGCGACUCUUAAACAAGUCCAAAAUAAUAUUUUCCUAAUAAAACAAAGUUGAAAAAUAGUUUGAAGUUAAAGUUGUAUUUGAACAUGCGUAUUUCAAAACAAGUGUUGUGAAUCCCGAAGAGAAUUGGUUUGUGAAAAACUCAUAUUAAAAAAUUAGCCAAAAAAUCGUACUUAUAAUAUGCAACUAAACACUACUCUGAAAAUAUUUUUAGAAAAAAAAGUAAUAGAUUGCCCCCGGCCUAGAGUUGUUCGAAAAAGUCACUUACACAUUGAAACUUUGGGGACAAUCUAUUACUCCCUUUAUUUUGAUUAAAAUGAAAUCAAUAUCCCUCAAAGUUCAGAUAGUCAACCAAUUGAAUUACUAUCCAUUUGUCCAGAACUUUCACCUAGUUUGACUACCUAAACAUUCAUACGAUUGGUGAGGGUUUGAACCUUUUUUUUUUUUUUAACAGCAAUGAAGAUUCUAUUUCAAAGCAAAAGGUUACAGAGGAGGACCAAACCUUACCUCAUGCAAGAGUAGCUAAAUAAAGCAAUUUUAGCUUCCAAAAAUAAAGCAAAAGAGGAAGAUCACAAAUAUAAAGCAUGCAACCACCAACGGAUGUGGUGAAGCAGAUAAGAUUGCUCCUUCCUUAACCAAAGAUCUCGGGUUUGAGUCUGGGUAUGAAAAAAUUGAACGUUUUUUCCCGAACGGAGUCCUACUCAGCACGAAUCCAAAAUAGUCAGACUCUAAUAAUGAGUGUGAAAGCAUUAGUUAAUUGUCAUUGCAUUCAAUGUUGUUAUAGGCUUGAAGGAAAUUUACAAAGAGUAUUAUUUACCUGUUGAAACACAUAUUUAGCAGCAAUCAAGCUAUAUCGUUAAUUAAUUACAUAAAUAUCCUCUCUUUUUUAAAUUUCAUACUUAAACUAUCACUCACUAAGGAGAAAAAAUGGGUUCCAAAAGCAUUUCUGAUUCUUGGCCUUUUUAUGGCCAUAUUUGUAAUGAAAAGCUCUGAUGUUUUAGGGAGUUGGCUAAGACUUCCACCACUUUCGAAGAGGACUGUAAAAUUAUUUUGAUCUUUCUAAUUAGUGGUUCACUAAAUUAAGUACUUAAUGUUCCUUGCCUCUAUAGGUGAUGAGGCAAUGGACAAAGAGCCACACAAUAGAUUAAGGAUAAUGCUAAAUGGCCAGAAAAUUUGGUCAGAAUUUGGUCAGAAUUUAAAAAGUCUAUAAUAUCCUUUUUACUUUAAAAUAAACUAAUCUUUUUUCCAUUUUUUAAUUAAAAGAUAUUAAAGUUAAAAGGGUAAAAAUGCUCAAAAAGAUAAAAUAACAUAGUGUGAACUAUGUUAUUUUAUCAUUCUGCAAUUUUCUGGCCAAAAAGAUUUUUCCAUAGAUUAUUUAUGUGGAUUGUGGAGCAAUAUAUUAAAACUAGAUAUGGACCUCGUGUUAGCACAGGGCCCAACAUAUAUUACGUUAAUCAAUUUCUUAACAUGUUUUUAUAUAUUAGAGUUAACCAAGGUUUUAUAUAUAUUUACAAAUAUAUAGAGAGAGAUUUUUUGAGUUGCUAAUUACUGUGAUUUAUGGUAUCUUUUUUACGUAAUUUUCACAUAAUAUAUAUUUCUCUUUUUGUGUUGAUUUAUGUGAUAUAAAUGAAAUUUCAAAAGUCAAUCAAUUUUUUUAUAAAUUCUUUUUGAUAUUUAAGUUAUUAAUUAUUGUGAUUUACAAUAUAUUUUAUGUAUUUUAUAUAAUAUAUCUCUCUCUUUAUCCCAAUUUAUGUGUAUAGAUGAAAUUUUGAGAGUUAACAAAAUAUUUUUAUAUCUUUUCAAAUAUUUUGAAGCUAUUAAUUAUUAUGAUUUAUACUACUUCUUACAUAAUUUUUUAAUAUAUAUAAAGUGAUAAAAGACAAAUUUUAAAAAAAGAAAACUUUAAGUUGCCAAACUACCCCUUGCUACAAGCAGGCAUGUUGAUGAAGAGUUGCCAGCUUGUAGCCUCAUCUAUAGUAUAGUAAUAAUAAUAUAUAUACAAGAUACGAGAUCCGUGCCAGCAUGGCCCAAUAUAUAUUAUUUUUAUUUUUAUUUAUGUGACACGGAUGAAACUUGAGAAGUUAUUCAAAAUUUUAUAUGAUUUUUAAAAAUAUUUUAAGUUAUUAAUUACUGUGAUUUAUAGUUUUUUUAAGCGAUUUUGAGGUAAUAUAUAUUAUUUCGUUUUUCCAAUUUAUGCGGCAUAGAUAUAAUUUCAAAACUUAAUUAUUUUUAUGUCUUUUAAAUUGUUAAUUAUUGUAAUUUGCAGUACCUUUUACGUAAUUUUUAAAUAAUUUUUGUUACUUCUCAUGUCCCAAUUUAUGUGGUAUUGAUAUAAUUUCGAGAGUUAGCCAAUUUAGUUUUUGUCUUUUAAAUUUUUAAGUUGUUAAUUAUUGUGAUUUAUAAUACUUUUAACGUCAUUGUCAAAUAAUAUAUGUCAUUUCCUCUAACCCAUUUUUUGUGUCACUCGUAGAAUUUUGAGAGUCAAUUGAUUUUUUUAUAUGACUUUUAAAUAUUUUAACUUAUUAAUAAUUGUGAUUUUGUCACGCCCCAAACCUGUACCCCGGAUGUGGCUGACACUCGAGAACCAUUGUUGGCCCCAAGCGAACCCUUGGUCUGGCUUACUUACUCAGUGAAAGACUUUAAGCAUUAUUAUAAUGAUCAAAUGCACUUCUACUCAUUGUUUAAUAAAAUAACUUAGAGCGUUUGAAGGUCAAACAUUCAACUUGGCCAAAAUGGCAACUCCAGUCUUAACAUAUGAAAUAAUAAUGUAAAUACAACUGAACUACUGAUUGUCUAUGAAGCCUCUAAAACAAGAAGGGAUGUCGGGACAAGACCCUCAAUCAUCCUAGCAAAUGAAAUACUAAAAGCAAAUGAUAAAAAGGAGCCCUCCGGAAAGCAAAGAGGCUCACCAACUGACUCUGAAUGCUUAACUGGAUCAACGAGGUGCUGGAUGAUGAUCUUGGUUACCUGUGUCUACAUCAUAAUAAGAUGCAGGCUAAAUGACAUCAGUACAUUGAAUGUACGAGUAUGCGAGGGGAAUUCUAAAACAAGACAUAAGCUUGAAAGAAACUGAGAACUUACCUGGCUCAACUCAACUCAACUUAAUUAACUGAACUCAUUUCAAUAUAAAGCAAUAUAAAACAAGUGCAAUAUAAAGAAAAGCUAUUUAAAACAUGUAUGUCAACUCUGUGUAUUUGGAAAUACAAAAAUACUCUGUAUGUAAGCAAAGAUACACAUAGCUCUGAAAUGUAUGUAAAAUACAAAUAAACUGUGUAUAUAAGAAUACAAUUAAUUAUGUGGAAGUUUCUCUAACUGACAACCAUCACUUAAGAGCUAUAGUGAUGAUACANNNNNNNNNNNNNNNNNNNNNNNNNNNNNNNNNNNNNNNNNNNNNNNNNNNNNNNNNNNNNNNNNNNNNNNNNNNNNNNNNNNNNNNNNNNNNNNNNNNNNNNNNNNNNNNNNNNNNNNNNNNNNNNNNNNNNNNNNNNNNNNNNNNNNNNNNNNNNNNNNNNNNNNNNNNNNNNNNNNNNNNNNNNNNNNNNNNNNNNNNNNNNNNNNNNNNNNNNNNNNNNNNNNNNNNNNNNNNNNNNNNNNNNNNNNNNNNNNNNNNNNNNNNNNNNNNNNNNNNNNNNNNNNNNNNNNNNNNNNNNNNNNNNNNNNNNNNNNNNNNNNNNNNNNNNNNNNNNNNNNNNNNNNNNNNNNNNNNNNAUUUACUCUUUACUGAAAACUAGCUCAAAGGCUCUUUUGGAAAUCUCAGUUUCCUUUCUUAUUUAACAUGUGAAAACAUUUUAACUAUUUGGGAAUACAUAGUCCCCAUAUACUUUGAAGAAAUGAACUUCAACUUUACUCUUUACUCAACUCAAAACUCAAGUCUUAAAACAAAGUUAAAUCAUUUGUAAAAGACUUUUAGAAGACUCUAUGAACUUCUCUUGACUUGGCUCUUAACUUAUCUUGACUUGACGCUUAACUGAUCCUUGAAUUGAAUUAUGGAUUCAAGGAUUGAGAUUUGUGAUAGGAAAGAUCUCAUGAUGUUUAGGAGUGUUUUUAGAUAGUUAAACAUGAGAAAUGAUCAGGAAAUCACUGUCUGGAAGCAAGUCCGCGACGCGGAGAUGCAUUUAAUUAUUUGGUCGUGAAAUAAAUUUUGAGGCAGAACGGUCCGUGACCGCUCCGCUCCGCGAAGAAAAAUUGUCAAUUCUGAGGAACAAGUCCACGACGCGGACCUGGUACCUAGAUUCUGCCGACUUGUUCCUUCUUCGUUUUCUAACCCCAAAUCACCUAAAUUCGAUUCUUUUUCUCCUAUUCUCUUUAGAUUCAGAUACCCAACAUAUGUACACAAGAAUCUAAUCAAACACAACUCUAAAAUCAACCUUAAAGUCUAAAGAACUCCACAAUCUCAUCCCAAAUUCAAGAAUGAAAGUAAAUUCAAGAACAUUCGAACUUUCAACUUUUAAGAUGAAUUCAUGCUGAAUUAAACAUGUUUGGCGCGUGAGUGAACGAAUCCAACGCUGUGUGAACUCACAUACCUCGUAGGGAUCACCCCUUGACGAAAUCCACAAGUGAUUCCUUACGAAGACGACGAAUCUUGAACUUUCUUCUCCUUCUCCUCUUUUCUCUUUUCUCCAAGCCCUAGCGCGAACUUCAACUUUUCUAAACUAACUAAAAUCUUAUUUGAUCCCAAUUAAUUACCCAAAAACGAAAUAAAGUAAUUGGGUAAGGAAAAGACCAUAUUGCCCUUCAAAAAUUCGGAUUAGACUUUCCUAAAUUGAACAGCUCAACUUCAAAUGGGAAUAUCUCACUCAUACGAACUCGGAACCGCCCAAACUCGGCGGAGUUGGAAAGAUUAUUCCAAGAUCUUUCCUACAACAUCUGGAAACACACCUAACUCAUCCUGAGCUAUAAGUUAUGGUCGUUUGAAGUUGACCAAAAAUCCAACUUAACAUACCUAACAAAUUUUCCAGAUUUUUAUAUUCUUUCCAAAAAUGACUAUUUCACUUAUUAACUUCUAUCUAGUUCUUUCUAGUUACGGAGAGUUACAGAUUUAAAGUAUUAUUAGUGUAAUUUUCAAAUAUAUAACAGGUUAAAAAAAGAGUAAGACAAAAUUAAAAGGAAAAAAGUGCAGAAUUAAUGGUCAAAUUAAUAUGACGCAAAUGAAAUUUGAAGAGUCGGUCAAGUAUUGUAUAUAUUUUUUUUUUAAAAUUAAGUUAUUAAUUAUUGUGACUAAUAAUACUUUUAACAUCAUUUUUAUAAAUAAUAUAUGUUCCUUCUUUUAUCCUAAUUUAUGUGGCACAAUAGAAUUUAGAGAGUCAAGCAUUUUUUAUAUAAUUUUUCAAUAUUUGAACUUUUGUAAUGGCAAUUAUGAUAUAUAGUAACGCUCCAUGCUAUUUGGGGCGUACAUAUCAGUUUGAUUUAGUUUUCUAUUAAACUAAAUCUAAAUUAGUCAUGUCAAUUUAUUAAAUUUUAAAAUCAAAUAAAAUCACAUAAAGUCAGGUUUUUAAUUUUGGUUUUAGUUGGUUUUUUCAAUUUUUUUCAAUUAUAUGGUGAUUGAAAAAGAGAUUAAAUAUACUUUCACUUAUCGGUGUGAUAAGCUAAACUUUAAAAACGUUAAAUGAAUAGAAAUCUUCAAAAAGGCGGUAAAAUUGAUAUGAGUACAAAAUAAUUCUGUUGAAAUCAUUAUGUUAAAUUUAUAUGAUUAAAGGUUCCAGUCACACUGGAUACAAAACAAAAUAUUUACAGAGUAGAUAGUUAACUUCGAAUUUAAAAAACUAUAUUGUAACUUCCGAUUUGAAUAUAAAAUAAAAUAUUUAUAAAAGUUUACAAGUCCAAAUUUAAAAUAAUAUAUCUAAACAUUGAAAACUAUAAAUUAAUAAAAAAUAUAUUAACAAAAUAGAUUAUAACUAAUUAUUUUUAUCUAUAAAUUAAAAAUAAAAUAAUAUAUAUUAUGUCGGUCUGGUUUGGAUUUGGUUUGAUUUUUUUUCUUUUAAGAUAUUUCAGUUCGAAAAAAAAUUUGAUGACUAGAUCACUGAUCUAAUUUCUUUAAUCACGAGUAAUUGAGCUUUAGUUGAUUUUUUUUUCUUUAUCUACUAAAAUAUUUCAGUUGCUAAAAUUGAUGACUAGGUCACUAAUCUAAUUUCAUAAUCACGAGUCUAUUAUUAUUAACGGAUUUCUAGUUGAUUUUUUCUCUAUAACUACUAAGAUAUUUCAAUUCGCUAUUGAUCUAUUUCUUCAAUCACAAGUCUAUUAUUUACUGGAAUAAUCUAGAAUAUCUCCAACACACAAGGGUAGGUCUUUGGACUGAAUUUGUUGCUAUCCUUGAUAUAUGGAAAACAUCUACAUCCAAACACUUUUAAGCUAUUGUAAUCAGGUUGUUCCCCAUACAACUUAACAAAUGGAGUCACCAUCUUUAGGACUGAGGAGGGCAGUCUAUUGAUGAGAAAUACUGCAGUGAGGAAAGCCUCAACCCAAAGAAACAAAGGUAGAUUAGCAUGAAGUAGUAGAGUUAAGCCAGUCUCCACAAUAUGCCUAUGUUUUUUCUCUGCAACUCCAUUUUUUUCAGGUGUGUUAGGACAGGAAAUAUGUCUCACGAUGCCACAAUCUUCCAAAUGCUUAAUGAAGUCUGUUUGGAUAAACUCACCAUUUCCAUCACACUAAAAAAUCUUAAUUUCUUUAGAAAAUUAUUUUUCCACCAUUUUCUGAAAUUUUAUAAAGACCUCAAAGAAUUCAGAUUUCUUUUUCAGUGGAUAAAUCCAUGUAUAUCUCGUGUGAUCAUCAACAAAAACAACAUAAUAUUUCAUAUGUUGGGAAGAUUCGACAGGAGCAGGUCCCUAUAAAUCACAAUGUAUUUUCAAUAAAGGUUCUUUAUCAAUUUUAUUUCUCAAACCAAAUGAAAGUUUACAACUCUUUCCCAACUGACAACUGAAACAAACAGUAGGCAUUUUAUUUCAACUACUAAUAUUGAUGCAACUAUUACUAUUCAAAACUUUCAAAGACUUCAAACUAGGAUGUCCUAAUCUAGUAUGCCACAUGUUAUCUGACGUGUUUCAAUCAUGUGCAGCAGUCAAAGCAUAGUGAUUGUUAUCUUCCAAAGCAUAGAGUCCAUUCCUUUUAGUUCCCUUGGCCAGCAGUGUCCUUGUCUUCUUAUCCUUUACAACAAAGUUAUUUUCAUCAAAUUCAAGAGUGCAACAAUUAUCCUUUGCAAGCUUACUAAUUGAGAGUAAAUUUUUAUUAAUCUUAGGGCCUAUAAGAACUUCUUUUAACUUUAGACCUGAUCCGGAUAUGUUUCCAACAUGUGUUAUAACUAACUUUGAUCCAUUCCCAAUAAUGAUUUUAUCUGUUCCAUUGUAGUGUUUAAGAUCAGUUAGGAUACCUGAGUUAUGUGUCAUAUGGCUACUUGCUCCUGAGUCCACAUACAAUGUGUCAUCAGUAGUGUUUUGUAGAUUAGUAGCAGUCAAUGCUUGUGAUAGCUCAUCUGCGGCUUGGUAAGAGUAAUCUCACCUGUAAAAACACUUAAGAGCAGUAUGGUUAUUCCUACCACAGAUUUGACAUGCAUCAGUACUGUUCCUCUUAUGACUUCCACUUGAAGAAUUGUUCUGAGGACCUGAUCCGUUUCAGUUGUUAUAAGAACCUGUUCCUUGGCCAGCAGGCUUAAAGUCUCUUCCUCUAGAAUUGAAAUUAUUGUUUCCUCUUCUUUGAGAGUAGUUUCCUCUUCCCCUGCCUCUUUGGGCAGAGAAUGUCAUGUUAUGAUUUUGCAUCCUCCCUCAUAUCAAAACCCCUUAGAGCAUUAACAAAUUGAUUAAGAGUAGGAUAUGGUGUCUUACCUAGCAUGACAGUCCUGAAGGUCUUGUACUUAAGACCUAGACCUCUAGCAAAAUUAAUCACUUUGCUAUCUUCAUCUACAGGCUUGUGAAUGGCUGCAAGGCCAUCGCAUAUGCCUUUGAAUUCCUUAAUCUAAGGUGAGAACAUUUUUCUUAUUGGUUUCAUGUAUAUGAGUGUCUAUGGAAAUUCUUUGUGGGACUGAAAAUGUCAUUGUCUCUUCCUUCUAUAUGCCAAAAUAGUGAAUUUUGAAGUUUUAUUCAGUAAAUUCAAUGAUCGAAAGUUCUGUAAUGCCAGUCAUUCUAACUAUUUUUUUGUUUGAAUGGAUUGUUGUCACUUUUUUCACGUUUUUGAAUGAAUUGUUUCUUUUAUUUUUAUAUAUGGUUAAUAACCGAAAAACCGAACCAAACCGAACCAAAACCGAAAACAACCAAACCGAUAAAUGUAUAUUAUAUUUGGUUUGGUUUGGUUUUGAUAAUUUUAAAACCGAUUAAGUUGGUUUGGUUUUGGUUUUGACUAGUAACCGACCCAAACCAAACCGUGAACACCCCUAAUUGUAGCUCAUUUUAAAAAUAAUAAUAAUAAUAAUAAUAAUAAUAAUAAAAAAUAUGAUAUAAUAAUAAUAAUAAUAAUAAUAAUAAUAAUAAUAUUCUGGCUUACAACACUUGGUAUUAAUUGGUCAAAGUAUGUGAUUUUAAUUUUUGUUUUGGAAAAAUCAGUAUAUGUCUGAAUUUACCAAAUUGAGGUAUUUAAACGUACAUUCUCAAAUUGAAGUGUUUAUUUGUUAUCUAACUAAGGCCAAACUUAAAUGUUUGUUUCAAUAUUACUUAGAACACCUUAUGAGUCCAAAUCUUUAUCAAAUGCAAACUCUCUUUGUUCCCAAAAAUCGUAUGCUAACGUAAUUAAAAUUAUUGAAAUCAUAAAAGAAUUAAAACAAACAGCAUUAACAUUAUUCACCCAUAUAUAAUUAAAUAGAGGUAUAUCCAAUUAUUUUUAUAUAUGUACUCGAUACCGAACCACUGUUUACUUAACAUUUAUCCUCGAACAUCACAUUGACAGGUUCAAUAAACAACAAGGUAAUCAUAUCCUUAAAUUCGCUUCGGGUAUUUAUAAAAUCGCCCUCUUUGAAAAUAUAUGCCAAGCGUGCAAAAUUUAUAACUUGUUCGAGGACAAAUAUUGGUACUUCAGAAGGGCUGAGGAAUUCCUCGUUCAUGUCUUUCCAUGCAUUAGCGAGUUUCUGCAUUAGCGAGUUUCUUUUGAGCCUCAACAUAUGCUUCUUGCUUUGAAACUCCGUGUUCUUUCAUGUAGCAUUCAAUGAAUGAAGCUACAUGGCUUCUUUGUUGUUCGAACUGCAUGCAUAAAAAUAGAUUUCAAUAUGUUGGAGUUGGAUUACGGGUCGUCCAUGUGGGCUAACUCGAUCCUAUUCAGAAAAUAUAAAUUAAAAGGAACAGAAAAGAAACAUGUCUAUAGUGGUAAACCUAAUUGUUUAUUAUAAAUUUUAGCAAUUUUCAUCGAGACACAUAGCUAUUUAUUUAGAAUUGGUGUUCAACACUUACAUCAUUUGUAUUAAUAUCGUCCUUUAAUCUGCCGAUUACUGAUGAAGCUCGAAGAAUCAAAGGCUCAUUUAUUACCCAUUCAAAUGUCUCUUUGGUAAUAUUUUCCUCCAUAACACACAAGAAAGUUGUUGCAGCCAUCAUAACCGUAGUACUUACAAUUGCAAUUUUCAUGUACUCCUCACAUUUUGGAAUAUAGACAUCAUUUAACCAUAGUGCUUCCUUGAGAUAUGCUCUAGCUACUUUCUUCAUCUAAUAUAGGAGUUAAAAGAAAACUUAGAAUCAGAUAAUGUUAAAGACAUAAUCAAGUAAAUAAAAAUGUGUUCUCUUUUUUUAAAAAAAAAUUGAACUUUUGAACGACAUAGUCACACGAUAUAAUUCUCAUGGCAUCAUAGUUGAGACAAAAUCUUUACAUACUUGGCACAUUAAACAAGAACCAAUUUCUCAUGUAAGGAGCGUAUUGAAGGCAUAAUAAUAAAUGGCAAUGUUAAUGUUUGAUUUAAAAGAAAUAAAGCUAAGGGAGCUUACCUCUUGUUUUGCAUAGUAGAGACAUUCCAAUUUACUUUCUUUGGUCAAUUCUUCUUCUAUUUCAUCAUAACGGUCUAGAAGAGUUCGAUAAACAGGUCUCAAAUUGGGUGAUACUAAAUUAAUGGCACUUAUGUCAUCACAUCUGCAUGUUAAGAGUUUGGAUCGAAGUUACAAACUAAAAUUUCUUAUUUAUACAAAUCAUCUCAUAAUAGUAACAUGUCCUUGACACAUUUUAUUUUCCUACUCAUUUGAACGCGUGAGAAAAUCAUUAGUGUAUAGUUUAAUUACCUAUCGAUUGCAUUUGUGAAAGCCACAAGUUCAUCAUAGGUUGCAUAAGUAUCAUAUGUGUCAUCAAUAAUGACGUAUGUCGUGAAUAAUUUUGUCAUCAUUUUUCUUGCACGACUAUGUUGAACUUCAAAGUACACACCAGCUACCCAAAAGUAACACUCCACCAUUCUAUCUCUAGCAUAUGGAAAUUGCUUCGCGAAAUCUUGAUUUUUUCACCACCUAUAUGGUCAAAGAUGGAGUUAGAAUUGUCAUUAAGAAUGUUCAAAAUAUAAAAAUCGAAGUAAACUUACAAAAAAAAUCAAUAGUAUACAUCAUUUACUAUAUAUACAUAAAUGACAAGGAAAGAGUAAUGUAUGUACCUUGUAAGCUCGCAAAGCUCUCCUUGAUGCAACUUUUGUAGAAUAUUAAAAUCCAAUUUUGCAAAUCUCAAAAGCAAAUCACUAUGAGAUUCAAUGUUCUCAUAAAUACAUAUGUAUUUCCUUGCUAACAACCUUGGUAAAUUUGUAUGAAUGGGCUGGCUUAAGGCUUCACUAACUUGGGCCUUGAGUAAGUUGCUCAAUUUUGGGACCAUGGACUCUAGAUGAGUGAUGGUAAAAAUUAGAGCUUCUUCAAAAAUCUCUUCCUCGUGUAUUCGUAGAUGUGUUGCUUCAUAUAAACUUAAUAAUCCAUGAACAUCUUUAAUAAGAUUUUCCUUGAACUUUUCGUCAUGGUUAGUGAAUUUCUUAAACACAUCUGAUUAAUUAUAUUGAACAUCAUAAGAGAAUUAACUAAAGAAUCGUAUACAAUGUUGGAAUAUAAUUAAGGUGAGCUCUUUUAGGAUAGAAGAGAAGAAAUAAACUUACCAGAAGACAUGUAAUGUCUUUGUUGUCUCACUAGUCGAAAACGAAGAGCAACGACGUAAAGAUCGUCAUCAUCUUCAUUUUUACUUUGUUUGGAUUCAUCAAAAAUAUUUUGAAUGGAUGUUUUAAUUUCAUUUUUGAAAUGAUAUGCCACUCCUAGUCGUUGGAUUGUAUCAAUCAAGACAAGUUUUUGUGUAGUAUUAUCUGGUGUUUCAACUAACAUUUUCUUGACUUUUUCUUUCAACUCUUCAAAUUCAAUUUUUUCUUGGGUACUAAUUUUCUGCACCAAGAAUUAAGCCUUAAUACAAAACAAAAACAAUACUAAAAUGAAGGUGUCAUGUGUGAUUGGUCGAAAUGCUUUAAAAAAAAUCUAUACAAAAAUAAGUUUCUUAAAGAUAAGUAAAAUGAAUAAAGGGGCGAGAGAAACAUGAUCUAUAUAGUGUUUGUCUAAAUUAUAUAUAAAUAUUUUUGAGAUAAUAUAUUUUGUAUACUUAUCAAAUAGAGUUAAUGGUCAAAAAACUAUACAUAAAAUAUCAUAUUUUGCGAGUUUUCUACCUAAACUAUCAAGUGUUCACAUUUUCUACCUGAACUACAUCAACUAUUUAUCAAAAUAUACCUCAAGUUCAAUUAUCAAUUGUUCCUUUUUUUCUACAUGAAAUAUAACUAUCGUUCAGGUAGGAAAAGAGAAUAACUGAUAGUUGAUGUGUGUUUCGAUAAACUUUUGGUGAUAGUUCAAAUAGGAAACUCGCACAACUGAGAGUACAAGUAUGAAACUCGAAAAAUAAAAAACAUGAAUAUAAUAUGAGUAUAUUGUAUGUCAUACCGUGAGUUGAGGAGUGUAAGAGAGGAAAUAAUUUUCCCAAACAGUUGAGUGAAAAUUUGCCAAUGGACGUUUAAUAUUGCCGCUGGAAGAAUCAACCAUUGCUACACUCAUUUUUAAUUUACUCAUAUUUUUCUCUCUUCCUUUUUUUCCCUAAAGGGACAUGUGAAUAUUUAUGUGGUAUUUUGAUUACUUUAGAAUUAGAAUUAUAGGACAGAAAAUUAUUUCCCCAAAAUGUUGGUUGAACAUUUCUCAAAUGACAAGAGAUUGUAGAAACAAUCAUUGUUUUUUUCCUCUCUUUUUAUACAAUUAAUUAAUUAAGCUGUGAAGUAUUUAUAGUAAAGGUGUGAUCACUGCACCAAAAAUAUCUUUACCGGUAUUUAAUUAGCGUGCUGUUAAAUAUGUAUUUUAACGGUAAUUAGCAUUCUUUAAAUGUUUCUAAAUCCUAUAACGAUAUUUGAUCUAAUGACAAUUAAUUAAUAUCAGUAAAAACUUUAACACUAUUUAUUAAUAUAUAUAUUACCGCUAAAAAUUAUUUUUAUUGUAGUGGAUAUCUAUACCUAAAUCCAAGGAAAAUGAAGAACCUGAUCUACGAGUUAUUGGAUAAGAAUUAAAGAAUUCAUUGGGUCUUCUUGGUUUGUGUAAUACACGGUAUAUGUGGAAUUAUCUGGUUUGGUGUUAGUGACACAUUGAAAAUUUAAUGUCAAUAUACAGUCAAUUUUUUUUAUAAUAUUCAUAUUUUAUAUUAAUAUUAUUUCAUUAAAAUGAAGUUUUUUUUUAAUUAAUUUUUUAUAUUUGUCAAUUAUAUAUUUUUGGUUGAAGUGUUAAAAAUAUAUCUAAAUUAUUUUAUUUUAAAAAACUUCAUACUUAAAUUAUUAAACUAGUUUAAAUCGAUACCUAAACUAUCACUCAGGCGGAAAAAUGGGUUCCAAAGCAUUUAUGAUUCUGGGCCUUUUUUUGGCCAUAUAAUUAUGGACAAAUUACAGAAAUCAAAUACUUUUAAGGUAAAAUUACAAUUUAUUCUUCAAAAGUUUAUAAUUACAGAAAUUCCUUAAACGGAUACAAUAAUAUAAGCGCUGAUACAUUAAUUUGAUGCGCGAGGUACAAUAAUAUAAGUGAUGAUACAUUAAUCUGAUGUGUGAGAUACAAUAAUAUAAGCGCUGAUACACUAAUCUGAUGGGCGAAAAUGAGGGAUUUUGGAGAUUUGUAAAACUUAUAGGGGAUAAUGGUAAUAAGUAAACUAAAAUGUGGAAUUUCUAUAAUUUUUCCUAUUAUUUUUUAGUUAGGGAGUUGGCUACUGUAAGAUUGUUUCUCCUUAUAUUCUCUUUUUUUUUAAAUAAAUGAAUACAAUAAAACCUCUCUAAAUUAAUACAGGCGGGACCAUGAAGUAUUAUUAUUUUAUAGAGGUAUUAUUUAAUUGAUAAAUUAAUAUUUAUUAAUUUAAAGAGUGUUUCGUAAAAACUGUUUAGGGAUAAAAUCUCAAAGAAUUUGAAAGAACCCAUUAGUGAAAAUGUCAUUCGUGAACUUGAGGUCAUGAUUAAUGAUCUUGGUUACCACUAGGGGUGUUCAUGGUUUGCAUAAAAACCGAUCCAAACCGAAAAACCAAACCAAACCGAUUAAAUGAACCAAUUUAAUUUGGAUUUUGGUUGGUUUGGUUUUAGAUUGUUAAGAACCGAUAGUAUUUGGUUUGGUUAUGGUUUUGUUCGAAAAAAAUCGAAGAAAUAACCGAACCGAACCAACAAGUUAUAUACAUAAAUUUUAUUAUUAUACAUACAUAAUAUAUUAUAUUCAUAAACAAUUUUAAAGAUUUUAUAUAUGUUUCAUCAAAAUUUAUUUUUAUAAUUUACUUAUGAAAGAAAAAAUGUCCAAGGUGAGAACAUUUUUCUUAUUGGUUUCAUGUAUAUGAGUGUCUAUGAAAAUUCUUUGUGGGACUAAAAAUGUCAUUGUCUCUUCCUUCUAUGCCAAAAUAGUGAAUUUUGAAGUUUUAUUCAGUAAAUUCAAUGAUCAAAAGUUUUGUAAUGCCAGUCAUUCUAACUAUUUUUUUUGUUUGAAUGGAUUGUUGUCACUUUUUUCACGUUUUGAAUGAAUUGUUUUUUUUAUUUUUAUGUAUGGUUAAUAACCGAAUAACCGAACCAAAACAAACCAAAACCGAAAACAACCAAACCGAUAAAUGUAUAUUAUAUUUGGUUUGGUUUGGUUUUGAUAUUUUUAAAACCAAUUAAGUUGGUUUGGUUUUGGUUUUGACCAAUAACCGACCCAAAUCAAACCGUGAACACCCCUAGUUACCACAAUAUAAUGGAUGUUAAUAACCUAUUGGAAGGGUGAAAAUGAUACAUGUUUAGAGGUCCAGAGCUUAGAACGAAUUGUGGAUAUCAUUAGAAACACAAUGUUGAUGAUAAAGUUGAAGAUGAUACGAUACAUUUGGAACCAGUUACGGGUAAUUAAGGAGACACUUGCAUCUAGAACUCUUCACGAUUUUAUGGUGCAAUUAGAAAAGAUAACAUCGAAACUUCUAGAUGCAAUAAGAAAAGUUGGAAAUGAGCUACAACUAGAUUUAAAUUUUAACAAAAAAAACAGAACAUAAUAGAAUCAUAAUUUACUAAAUUUUCUUAGAUAUAUUUGUACUUUUAAAGAAUUAUUAAUUUAUAAUAUUAAUGGGACCAUAUAUUUAUAUAGGGGUUUUCUGAAAAUAUAUUAUCUUAUUAUAUUAUCGAAAUGAAUGAUUUUUUUUCAUUGGCCCAAGUCGGGACCGGAGGAAAUUAUUAUCUUAGAAGAAAGAUUAUUAAUUAAUCGAGAAUUAAUUUAGCAAAGUUUUACUGUAUCUAGUAAAAUUAUUUAAAUCUUUCUAAUUAGCGGUCCACUAAAUUAAGUACUAAAGUUUCAUGCUUCUAUAUUCACUUAUGCUUGCUAUAAUUAGUAACGACUAACAAGUAUGAGUUAAAGCCAUGUUUAGUACUUACGUAUAUAAUAUAGUAGUCACUAUAUAUGAAUCUUCACAUCUUUAUAAAUUGACACUAAUAGUCGUACACCCACUAAUAUAUGAUCAGAGAACCAAAUAGGUUAUUAUUUAAUUAAGUUAGCAGCUAAUUAAAUAUAUUGUUUUAGAUUAAGCACCUAUAUAUAGGAUGCUCUUUUUUUCUUCAAUUUCCUAAUCUGCUCUUGUACGCCAAUAUUAACAUUGACGAUUAGAUCACUUCAUUAAUUUUCUGGUCACGAAUCUAUUAUAUUAUUAUUAUUAACGAAACUCUAGUUGAUUUUUCUUUCUUUAAGAUCAAUUGCUAAAACUGAUGACUAGGUCACUCAUCUAAUUCUAUAUAUAGUCACAAGUCUAUUAUUAUUAUUAUUAUUUUUGUUAAUAAGAUACUUAUAUUAAUAAAUAAUAUGCAUCAAUACAUGGGAAAGACAGUGCUAGACCCCUCCUAGUAUCGUCCAGGGCGGGGGAGUUACAUUGAGUUUAUAACUAUUACAUAAGUUGGAAGUAUUUGGUGACUUCCAUAUCCUACCAAAAUGAGUUCCUCCUUUGUUUGCUUCUAGUUUAUUCGAGACAAAUACCGGUGGAACUUCGUGGUACAAAAAGGAACUAGCUUGCUUCAUCUUGGACCCCUCCCUUGUUAGAGCAUCUGCCACCCGGUACCCAUUCUCCAUUCGAGUCUCUAUUAUUAUUAACAUAUCUUUAGUUGAUAUUUUUUUUGUUCACCACUAAGAUAUUUUAAUUAACUCGCUAUUGAUCUUGCUGCUUUUUGGAGCUUAUUGUAAGAAUUAUUAUUAUGAAAUAAAAGCCAUCAUGUAAUGUUUGUUAAUUAUGCUAUAUGGUAUGAUAAUAUUUUCC